rnacentral:rRNA from 1 species
UACGUAGGGUGCAAGCGUUAACCGGAAUUACUGGGCGUAAAGCGUGCGCAGGCGGCUUUGCAAGACAGAUGUGAAAUCCCCGGGCUUAACCUGGGAACUGCAUUUGUGACUGCAUGGCUGGAGUGCGGCAGAGGGGGAUGGAAUUCCGCGUGUAGCAGUGAAAUGCGUAGAUAUGCGGAGGAACACCGAUGGCGAAGGCAAUCCCCUGGGCCUGCACUGACGCUCAUGCACGAAAGCGUGGGGAGCAAACAGG